CGUAGGUGGCAAGCGUUGUCCGGAUUUAUUGGGUUUAAAGGGUGCGUAGGCGGCUUGAUAAGUCAGUGGUGAAAGCCGAUCGCUUAACGAUCGAACUGCCAUUGAUACUGCCAGGCUUGAGUAUAGUUGAGGUAGGCGGAAUUGACAGUGUAGCGGUGAAAUGCAUAGAUAUUGUCAAGAACACCAAUUGCGAAGGCAGCUUACUAAAGUAUAACUGACGCUGAGGCACGAAAGUGCGGGAUCAAACAGGAUU
rnacentral:rRNA from 1 species